AUAAGAAGCAACAAAAAACUCUGGAAGAUCAGUUGUUGCAGGUAAAGAAGCCUAAAGAGGAAGAAGAGGGGAGUUCAGUUUUGACUUGGAAAACUAUUACCACCUGACAAGAAAGUUAUUGUAUCCUGAGGUCCAUUGCUGCUAUUUUGAUGAUGGAAGAAAGUGCCAAAAACAUCAAGCAGAUCAUUGUGAAGUGCUUACAUGAUAACUUCAAGGAUGAAAUGUAGGCAUUACAGACAGACAUAGAGCAGUCCUGUUGAACCAUUAUAUGACCUUGGAAAUAAAGGUGCUGGGCAAUGGAGGGACAAGAAGAAUGAAGUGUGGGUAUCCAGCACCACAGAGUACAAUUCCAGCACAGGGCUACCCACUUCCAGAUUUACUGUUAUAACUUAGAAGGCCCUGCUACUGGAAUUUGAAUUGGAACAAUAACUCAGGUGAUUACACCACUCAAAAGCAAAGUACAUUAAACAUUUGAAGAGAAACCCGUGCAUUUACAACUCAUCCAACAGCAAACAACAAUCUUGCCUCCUAAAGAUGCUGAGAGCUUCUAGGCAGCUGAGACUGGAUGUCUUCAUUGGAGAGUGGAGAGGCUGCACUCCAGCAGCCUGGAAGCACCACUCUGCCCCGGGCAUUCAUAACAGGCCUUGAAUACAAUCAAUAUCUCAACUGGAAAGUCUAUGUGCCUGGAGAACACCACACACUGGGUGGUAACACGGCAGAUUUGUGAGUAACAGAAAUGUAGAAGAUGUUAUCAAGUGUAUAUCGAGAUUCGAUCAAUGGCAGUGGAGAAAUCCUGAAGCAGAUACCAGCUGGCUUGUUCCUCUUCCUUUUAGUUCUAUAAUAAAAGCCAGUGUUGGUGCCUGUAUCUUUUUAUGUUUCUUGGGGUUUUUUUUGUUUGUUUUGUUUUGUUUUGUUUUGUUUUGUUGACAGGGUUUCACCCCCCGAUUCCCACGCUGGAGUGCAGUGGCGCAAUCUCGGCUUACUGCAACCUCCGCCUCCCA